GAUGAACGCUGGCGGCGUGCUUAACACAUGCAAGUCGAACGGAAAGGCCUCAGCUUGCUGGGGUACUCGAGUGGCGAACGUGUGAGUAACACGUGGGUGAUCUGCCCUGCACUUCGGGAUAAGCUUGGGAAACUGGGUCUAAUACCGAAUAUGACCACUUCUUGGAUGUUGUGGUGGAAAGCUUUUGCGGUGUGGGAUGAGCCUGGGGCCUAACAGCUUGCUGGAGGGGGAAUGGCCUACCAAGGCGGCGACGGGUAUCCGGCCUGAGAGGGUGUACGGAAACAUUGGGACUGCGAUACGGCACCGACUCAGACGGGAGGCAGCAGUGGGGAAUAUUGCACAAUGGGCGCAAGCCUGAUGCAGAGACGCGGCGUGGAGGAUGUAGGCCUUCGCGUUGUAAGCUCCUAUCGCUUUCGACGAAUCCACUUGUGGUGACGGUAGGUAGAUAAGAAGCAGCGGCUAACUACGUGCCAGCCGCCGCGGUAA
rnacentral:rRNA from 1 species